UGGGGAAUAUUGCACAAUGGGCGAAAGCCUGAUGCAGCAACGCCGCGUGAGUGAUGAAGGUCUUCGGAUUGUAAAGCUCUGUCUUUUGGGACGAUAAUGACGGUACCAAAGGAGGAAGCCACGGCUAACUACGUGCCAGCAGCCGCGGUAAUACGUAGGUGGCGAGCGUUGUCCGGAUUUACUGGGCGUAAAGGGUGCGUAGGCGGAUGUUUAAGUGAGAUGUGAAAUACCCGGGCUUAACUUGGGUGCUGCAUUUCAAACUGGAUAUCUAGAGUGCAGGAGAGGAGAAUGGAAUUCCUAGUGUAGCGGUGAAAUGCGUAGAGAUUAGGAAGAACACCAGUGGCGAAGGCGAUUCUCUGGACUGUAACUGACGCUGAGGCACGAAAGCGUGGGUAGCAAACAGGAUUAGAUACCCUGGUAGUCCACGCCGUAAACGAUGAGUACUAGGCGUAGGAGGUAUCGACCCCUUCUGUGCCGCAGUAAACACAUUAAGUACUCCGCCUGGGAAGUACGAUCGCAAGAUUAAAACUCUAAAGUGAAUUGAC
rnacentral:rRNA from 1 species